UCUGUAGGUGGUUUGAUAAGUCAACUGUUAAAUCUUGAGGCUCAACCUCAAAAUCGCAGUCGAAACUAUUAGACUAGAGUAUAGUAGGGGUAAAGGGAAUUUCCAGUGGAGCGGUGAAAUGCGUAGAUAUUGGAAGGAACACCGAUGGCGAAGGCACUUUACUGGGCUAUUACUAACACUCAGAGACGAAAGCUAGGGUAGCAAAUG
rnacentral:rRNA from 1 species